GCAUAAGGUUGAGAUAUUUUUAUAUAAGUUUUGUACCAAAUAGAAACCUAACGAAUAGUUUCAAAGAAAUUAGUGAUUUAAUUUUGACCGACACUGAAUAUCACAUGAAACAAAAACUCUCAUUAUACGCUUCUACUCUACGGCUUUUAAAUUAUUUAUGUGAAUAUUUGUUGAACUUUCAAACUAUAGCAUGUAGCAAUCAAUUUGACAAUUCAAAAACUAUUUCGAAAAAAUAAGGGCUUCAACAUGGCUAAACUGGAAUUUAUACAGGGCGCUAUAAAUUUUACGCUACCUUUGGUUUGUUUUAUUUUCGAAAUAAUUGCCCUAAUGGAAGUCAAAAACCAGCAUAAUAGUAUUUGCAUUCAGGCUCGGGAAAUUGCUCGGGAAGCAAACAUUUUUCUAUCAUUCAUAAGCAUGCUAAUAAUUCCUGAUUUAAUAUUGAGCCUGCUAGCGAUUGUAGAUUUUAAAAAUAUUGUUCGCCUUUUUGGACCAUUGUAUCAAAUUUUUUCUGUUGUUAUAUGUUUUGGUUCGUCACUGUUUUUAUUAAGUGGUAUAACAAAUUGUGGAAAUGCAGCUCAAGACCAUUUUUAUUCUGCUGUGAUCAUGACAAUUAUUGCUGGAAUUAUUCACUUCAUCUAUAUGGUUUUAGUUUUAAUGCAAAUGCCAAAAAAUAUAAAGUGGUCUAUAUCAUCAACAUUUAAUCAAAAUACUUAAAUAAAAUGUAUAUUCUACACAUACACAAUUAAUUUUUCAU